rnacentral:rRNA from 1 species
AUUGAACGCUGGCGGCAGGCCUAACACAUGCAAGUCGAACGGUAGCACAGAGAGCUUGCUCUCGGGUGACGAGUGGCGGACGGGUGAGUAAUGUCUGGGAAACUGCCCGAUGGAGGGGGAUAACUACUGGAAACGGUAGCUAAUACCGCAUAACGUCGCAAGACCAAAGUGGGGGACCUUCGGGCCUCACACCAUCGGAGGUGCCCAGAUGGGAUUAGCUAGUAGGUGGGGGAAUGGCUCACCUAGGCGACGAUCACUAGCUGGUCUGAGAGGAUGACCGGCCACAAUGGAACUGAGACACGGUCCAGACGCCUACGGGAGGCAGCAGUGGGGAAUAUUGCACAAUGGGCGCAAGCCUGAUGCAGCCAUGCCGCGUGUAUGAAGAAGGCCUUCGGGUUGUAAAGUACUUUCAGCGGGGAGGAAGGCGGUGGAGUUAAUAACUUCACCGAUUGACGUUACCCGCAGAAGAAGCACCGGCUAACUCCGUGCCAGCCGCCGCGGUAA